rnacentral:rRNA from 1 species
CCUGGCUCACGUUGAACGCUAGCUACAGGCUUAACACAUGCAAGUCGAGGGGCUGCAUGGUCUUAGCUUGCUAAGGCCGAUGGCGACCGGCGCACGGGUGAGUAACACGUAUCCAACCUGCCGUCUACUCUUGGACAGCCUUCUGAAAGGAAGAUUAAUACAAGAUGGCAUCAUGAGUCCGCAUGUUCACAUGAUUAAAGGUAUUCCGGUAGACGAUGGGGAUGCGUUCCAUUAGAUAGUAGGCGGGGUAACGGCCCACCUAGUCUUCGAUGGAUAGGGGUUCUGAGAGGAAGGUCCCCCACAUUGGAACUGAGACACGGUCCAAACUCCUACGGGAGGCAGCAGUGAGGAAUAUUGGUCAAUGGGCGAGAGCCUGAACCAGCCAAGUAGCGUGAAGGAUGACUGCCCUAUGGGUUGUAAACUUCUUUUAUAAAGGAAUAAAGUCGGGUAUGGAUACCCGUUUGCAUGUACUUUAUGAAUAAGGAUCGGCUAACUCCGUGCCAGCAGCCGCGGUAAUACGGAGGAUCCGAGCGUUAUCCGGAUUUAUUGGGUUUAAAGGGAGCGUAGAUGGAUGUUUAAGUCAGUUGUGAAAGUUUGCGGCUCAACCGUAAAAUUGCAGUUGAUACUGGAUAUCUUGAGUGCAGUUGAGGCAGGCGGAAUUCGUGGUGUAGCGGUGAAAUGCUUAGAUAUCACGAAGAACUCCGAUUGCGAAGGCAGCCUGCUAAGCUGCAACUGACAUUGAGGCUCGAAAGUGUGGGUAUCAAACAGGAUUAGAUACCCUGGUAGUCCACACGGUAAACGAUGAAUACUCGCUGUUUGCGAUAUACAGCAAGCGGCCAAGCGAAAGCGUUAAGUAUUCCACCUGGGGAGUACGCCGGCAACGGUGAAACUCAAAGGAAUUGACGGGGGCCCGCACAAGCGGAGGAACAUGUGGUUUAAUUCGAUGAUACGCGAGGAACCUUACCCGGGCUUAAAUUGCAGAUGAAUUACGGUGAAAGCCGUAAGCCGCAAGGCAUCUGUGAAGGUGCUGCAUGGUUGUCGUCAGCUCGUGCCGUGAGGUGUCGGCUUAAGUGCCAUAACGAGCGCAACCCUUGUUGUCAGUUACUAACAGGUUCCGCUGAGGACUCUGACAAGACUGCCAUCGUAAGAUGUGAGGAAGGUGGGGAUGACGUCAAAUCAGCACGGCCCUUACGUCCGGGGCUACACACGUGUUACAAUGGGGGGUACAGAGGGCCGCUACCACGCGAGUGGAUGCCAAUCCCCAAAACCUCUCUCAGUUCGGACUGGAGUCUGCAACCCGACUCCACGAAGCUGGAUUCGCUAGUAAUCGCGCAUCAGCCACGGCGCGGUGAAUACGUUCCCGGGCCUUGUACACACCGCCC